UUUUUCUCUCUCUGUUCCGCUCGCUCCCCUCUUUCUGCUCCAGCCACACGCGAGGGGGAGACUUAAGCUCUGCGAGGGGGGAAAAAAAAAAAGUCUGCUGCUAUUUCUACAGUCAGGGCCUCCCCACAGCCCGCCCUUCCAUAGACGGAGCUUUUUUUUUUCACUCACUACUAGCUGGAUUUUAACCCUCUGCCUCCAACUAGCUGCACAGCAGCUCUGCAAAACCUGGCAACAAGUUGCUUUUUAGUUGCCUUUUCUCACUUUUGGCGCAUUGUUUUUUUGCAUCACUUUGGAUUUGGGCGCCGAUUCUUCCGUUCUUUUGUGUUUUGUUCUCUAGAAAUGUUCCGCGUCUUCCUAUUUUUGUCUCUGCCGAUGGGUUUCUAGUAGUAUUUAUUUAGUUUCCCUCUUUCUGGAUGGGAAUUCGUCAAGGUGGUGUUUUUCGCCAUGUGAUGGGCCUUGUUCCAUCUGGAGUGUCGGGGCGCCAUUUCCGACGGGUAACCUUCGUGGGGUGGGCUCGUGGUCUGGAUGACCACUAUGGAUGACGAGCAUAUUGUAACCAGUAUCCGAGUGAGAAACCCAUCAGUGUUUUAAAGACCUUCUUCAGCAACUGGCUUGAUGUACCUCCUUCGUCUUUACUCUCGGUCUCUCCCACUAUUUCCUUCCCAUGUCCUCUCUCUGUUCCUGUGUCUGUCUCUCGCUCCCCCUUGUUCUCUCUCUUUCACACCGACUCGCUCUCUCCACAGGAGAAUGAGUGGUGUGCUGAGCCGGAGCUCUUUCUGGGACAGGUGCCAGCUGCAAACAAAAGACAUUACUAAAAGGCAAUAAGAGAAAAAAAAUGUAGUAAUCGCAAAAUUUCUAAUUGUUGCAUCGAAAUAUCAGAAGUAGCUCCGCGUGUCGUGUCUCUACACGGCCACUUUGCGCUGUGAUUGCAUGUUUGUAUGAAGCAUUAAAACAGAUUUUUGCGACCAAGGCUGCAGGUAAAGCAGAAGUUUGAAUACUUUGCCACACUUAUUCUAGUGAAGGCAUUUCAUUCAGGUAGACGGAGGGAGUAAUGUGGGAGAGCAGCAUAUAGACUGCUGAAUUAUUCAUGUGCCCAGCCAAGGCUGUGACUGAACUGGUUGUGCUAUUUGCAUGCAUCAGACAUGCUGUUUGUCUGUUUGCUAACAUUCCUCAUUCAAAGACUUGUUAACUAGCGGACCGGCUUAGCUGGAGCCUUGCAGACAGCCUCAUGGCCUCCUAUUGUUUCGGGCCUCACCAGGCCCGGACCCCGCCAGAGGCAGGCGAGCCGUGCAGCCCUGAGCUUGGGGGCUCAGACUGUGGCUGGAAGAGAGAUUGAGGCUGGAGCUGAGAUUCAGGCUGGGGCUCAAAGCUGGAGUUUGGGGCCGAGGUACGGCUGUGAAGGGGACAGUCUGAGGGGAAAUGAGUGGGUGUUGCAAGGACCACCAAACGGGGAGCUUAUGGCUUUCUCCUCUUCUUGACAGAGAUGCGAAUGAAAGCGGGAAGAGCUGCCGUAUCUCCCAUCCCGACCGGACAUUUACCACCUUUGCUUUCAAAAUUGGCAGUGAGAUGGGUUUUGACUUCAGCCAGAGGCACAAACAAUUUGGCCAACAAGUGAAAUCAAGGACAGACAGACUGGCGAUCGCAGCAGCAUUGAGAAACAGAUUUUCCCUCUCUGAGAUGACGGGUUACCUGACAUGCUGCCGAAACCGUGAUGGAGGGAGCGGCGUGUUACAGUGCAGGUGAGAAACAUUAACAGCGGUAGCAGCUGCGGCCCUCUGCUCCACACAUGUGGGCCAGGAUGUGCUAGCUUGAGCUCGCCCACUGUCAAUACUGGUGACUGCUGUUAACACUCUCCUCUCCGAAGCGCACAGACUCUACUGAGAAAAAAAGGGACAACACACGGUGGAAUAAUCUACGCGGAUCAUUAUACAACAUUGAUACCUUUUUUUUGCUUAAAUUACAUUUUCUUUCUUUAGUUAUCACUUGACCUCUUUUGACAAGCGAUGCUGUGGAUUGGUAACAGAAAUGUGCCACCAUCUUUCGGUUCUGAUCAUAAGCCAAUUGAAUGCAGACUAAAACAUGGUCAGCUUAUUUAAUGGAAUAUUUUAACAGAUUUGACGCUAAACAAUUUUCCAUAAAAUCCUUACUUUGGAUGUCACAGGAUCUCUCAAGUUAUUUGCUGGGCACAUUUGAAUAUGGAAAUAUCUCAGCGAUACAAUUUGUUUUGGACAUAUCCACCUGAUUGGAUCAUUUGCAUUCCCCCCAGGUGACCCGGUCGUCAUGUUGUGUUCUGAACACACAGAUUCCCGUCACACUGGUGAGCUGUCCCAGAGGAGAGUGGCAUGUGUGUUUGCGUUUCAGUGAAUCAUAACCGCUCUCUUGCAUUCAUCAAGGUGUGUCGAAGCGGAUUACCUGCAUGAACGGGGACCUGAAAUGACUUUGUUUUUAAAGACUGUCCUUUGGGGUGAGGUAGUAGGUUGUAUAGUUUUAGGGUCACACCCUUCCUGUCAGAUAACUAUACAACUUACUGUCUUUCCUGAAGUGGCUGUAAUGUCGCCGGACGCCAUUGUUGGAGCUUUUGGAUCUGGAUCAACACUGGGAUGUAUGUGUUUACCCACUGACUGCUAAGAACAUAACUCAUUCACAGCAUUUGAUAGUGGUUGAUCAGUUAGGGUUGUAGUUGCUUAAUGUUGUUUUCUGUCAAGGUUGCACUUAAGGUCAAUAAAAAAAAAAUGUCAUCAGAAGUGUAAUGUUUUGCUGGUUGUCUGUGUACCAAACAAACAACAAAAUACUUUCUUCAUCAGACACCGUAUGUUGUGUUAACUUUUACUUCUCUUAUCUAGAUGUCAUCCUCUUUCCUUCGUCUUUGUUUAAAUUGUCAUUUAUGAUCAUCAAAGGACUUUUGUCAAAGCUGUUUUUACUCUAACUGUUGAGAUCUGACUGCUUGUAAUGUUGGUGUUUUUAAAAAUGAAUACUUGAUUAAGUCAUUUUCUGUCAAUGUAUGUUUAGAUAUGAAGUCUGUUAGGGUGUGGGCGUCCCGUGUUUAUAUGUCACUCCACCUUAAUGAUGUCUGGUAAUAGUUCCGCCAACCUGUCCGACCUUUCUGAUGUUCGAACAGGGUGAGGUAGUAGGUUGUGUGGUUUCAGGGUAGUGAUUUUGCCCAAUCAGGAGAUAACUAUACAACCUACUGCCUUCCCUGAAGGGCAGCAAUACUUCACCACACAGACAACUGGGGGCAUCUAGUUCAAAGCAUCAGAAAAAAGAAAAACCUCCCAACAAACAACAAACCAAACCAGCUCAGCUGUCUGGCCCUGAGCCACCAGUCUGCUUCUUACCUGGAAUGAGCACGGCCAAUCACAGCAGCAGAGGGGACCAGCAGGUAAAUACUGUUCACUGGAGGACGUGUGUUUGAUUUGUUUAUUCUGCUCCGAAUAUUAAUAAAGAAUAUGAAGAAGAA